UCGAACGGCAGCACGGGUGCUUGCACCUGGUGGCGAGUGGCGAACGGGUGAGUAAUACAUCGGAACAUGUCCUGUAGUGGGGGAUAGCCCGGCGAAAGCCGGAUUAAUACCGCAUACGAUCCACGGAUGAAAGCGGGGGACCUUCGGGCCUCGCGCUAUAGGGUUGGCCGAUGGCUGAUUAGCUAGUUGGUGGGGUAAAGGCCCACCAAGGCGACGAUCAGUAGCUGGUCUGAGAGGACGACCAGCCACACUGGGACUGAGACACGGCCCAG
rnacentral:rRNA from 1 species